rnacentral:rRNA from 1 species
AUUGAACGCUGGCGGCAUGCCUUACACAUGCAAGUCGAACGGCAGCACGGGAGCAAUCCUGGUGGCGAGUGGCGAACGGGUGAGUAAUAUAUCGGAACGUGCCCAGUCGUGGGGGAUAACGUAGCGAAAGCUACGCUAAUACCGCAUACGAUCUAUGGAUGAAAGCGGGGGAUCGCAAGACCUCGCGCGAUUGGAGCGGCCGAUAUCAGAUUAGGUAGUUGGUGAGGUAAAGGCUCACCAAGCCGACGAUCUGUAGCUGGUCUGAGAGGACGACCAGCCACACUGGGACUGAGACACGGCCCAGACUCCUACGGGAGGCAGCAGUGGGGGAAUUUUUGGACAAUGGGCGCAAGCCUGAUCCAGCAAUGCCGCGUGCAGGAAGAAGGCCUCGGUUGUAACGUAG